GGCGCGGGGGGCGGUGCGGUGCCCGGUGCCCCCGGGGCUGCAGGCCCUGCGCUGCCGCUGCUCGGCACGGACGGCAGACGGAGGGCGGACAGACAGACAGACGCGGGGCUGCGCGUAUCUCUGCGGCGGCGGAGGCCGCGUCCCGGCACAGCCGUUUCGGGGCACGGCACCCCGAGCUCUGCCCGCCGACAGGACGGGAGAACGGCUCCGGGUGCCGUUCCCGGCGAAAGGCAUCCCCCCCCGCUCCGGGGAAGAGCUCGCUGCUACCGGGGGGCUCCGGCACCACCCCCGCUGCCGGCAAAGUUGCUCCAAGUUGGAGCCGUCGCGCUCUCCGCUUCGCCUCACGGAUUCGCUUUUCUCUCUCUCUCUCCCUCCCAGGUGAGCUCGGCUGCAGCGCAGGACCCGCCCGCCCUACCAGGAGAGGGGAAAUCCCCGCAUCGCUCCCAUCGCUCCCAUCCAGCAGCAGCCACCGCAGGCAACGGGGGACAGGGAGCAGCGGGGACAGCGGGGAGACAACCCUAUGGCAGCACCCUCAGAAUCCAGGGGGAGAUGUGCCCUGCCAGGACCUGGUGCUGUGGGUUUGCAGCCACAAAUCUGGGCAUGGGUCCAGGGGAUGGGAGGUGCAGCUGCAACCCCAGCGUGACUCAGAGAUGGGACUGCACCCAUAUUCCACCAGGGAUGCUCCAGAGCCUCCUGGAUGCGGAACAGGGAUUUGCUGACUGCAUCCCACAGACACAGUGCUGGAUCCCCCUCGGCUGACCCAUGGCAUGAGGACACAGCUGAGAACACCACUGUUUUUCCCCAGGACAGCCUGUUUGCAGCACAUCCAGCGCAAGGCACAGCUCUUGGUGAUGUGAGAGGACGCCGUGUGGUCUGGAUGGCCAAGAAUGGCUGGAAAAGAGCCCAGGCACUGACUGAAAUGUGGGCAGGGUCCGGGCAGGUCCCCUCCCUGUCCCCAGGGUAAAUUCUUACUCUGUCCCAUCACUGGACCCUGGGGGUCCUGGGGCACAGAGCUGCAACCACUGCACCCAAGGCACCGGGAGACAAGACCUGCAGCAAGUGGAGGUGAAAAGGAAAAACAACAAGUAUAUUAAAGGUGUUGAAAGCCUACAGCAGUGCCACAGCCUGGU